rnacentral:rRNA from 1 species
CCUACGGGAGGCAGCAGUGGGGAAUAUUGCACAAUGGGGGAAACCCUGAUGCAGCGACGCCGCGUGAGUGAAGAAGUACUUCGUUACGUAAAGCUCUAUCAGCAGGGAAGAAACACUGACCUUACGGUCAGCAGACGGUACCUGAGUAAGAAGCCGCGGCUAACUACGUGCCAGCAGCCGCGGUAAUACGUAGGGGGCAAGCGUUAUCCGGAUUUACUGGGUGGAAAGGGAGCGUAGACGGUGCGCCAAGUCUGGAGUGAAAUGCCGCAGCUUAACUGCGGAACUGCUUUGGAACUGGGCGGCUGGAGUGCGGGAGGGGUAGGCGGAAUUCCUGGUGUAGCGGUGAAAUGCGUAGAUAUCAGGAGGAACACCGGCGGCGAAGGCGGCCUGCUGGACCGCGACUGACGUUGAGGCGCGAAAGCGUGGGGAGCGAACAGGAUUAGAUACCCGGGUAGUC